UACGUAGGGUGCGAGCGUUAAUCGGAAUUACUGGGCGUAAAGCGUGCGUAGGUGGUUCGUUGUGUCUGUGGUGAAAGUCCCGGGCUUAACCUGGGAAUGGCCAUGGAAACUGGCGAGCUGGAGUCUGGCAGAGGGGGGUGGAAUUCCGCGUGUAGCAGUGAAAUGCGUAGAGAUGCGGAGGAACACCGAUGGCGAAGGCAGCCCCCUGGGCUAAGACUGACGCUGAGGUGCGAAAGCGUGGGGAGCAAACAGG
rnacentral:rRNA from 1 species